rnacentral:rRNA from 1 species
GAUGAACGCUGGCGGCGUGCCUAAUACAUGCAAGUCGAGCGAACAGACGAGGAGCUUGCUCCUCUGACGUUAGCGGCGGACGGGUGAGUAACACGUGGAUAACCUACCUAUAAGACUGGGAUAACUUCGGGAAACCGGAGCUAAUACCGGAUAACAUGUUGAACCGCAUGGUUCAACAGUGAAAGACGGUCUUGCUGUCACUUAUAGAUGGAUCCGCGCCGCAUUAGCUAGUUGGUAAGGUAACGGCUUACCAAGGCAACGAUGCGUAGCCGACCUGAGAGGGUGAUCGGCCACACUGGAACUGAGACACGGUCCAGACUCCUACGGGAGGCAGCAGUAGGGAAUCUUCCGCAAUGGGCGAAAGCCUGACGGAGCAACGCCGCGUGAGUGAAGAAGGUCUUCGGAUCGUAAAACUCUGUUAUUAGGGAAGAACAAAUGUGUAAGUAACUAUGCACGUAUUGACGGUACCUAAUCAGAAAGCCACGGCUAACUACGUG